UCGAAAAGAAAGUAUUUAUUAGUACAUGUAUGGUGUGCUUAAUCAGAGCUUGGAUUGUUUGUGUAGCUUGUUUGGGACUUAUAUUAUAUUCAGAUGCGUUAUGGUGUUACCAAUGCGGUGAUAGUUCAAUCGGAGGACCGUGUGUAACAGACACAGCCGGCAUGGAAGCAGAGUACUACAGACGGAAUACUUCUCUAAAAGAGCCGGAUCCGGAUAAGGACAAAGUACCAUAUAAAUAUUUAAAGGAUUGUUCAAAAACCAGUAAAAUCUGUAUCAUAGAAAGAAUUGAAGAACAGGGAAAAACGCUUGCAUAAAUACGAGACUGUCACAAUACCGACAGGAGCUACUCGAUUCAAGAUCCGAGGUUUAAUGACCUUGAACCUAGUCUCAAUCACACCACGUGUAUCUAUGCAAAGUGAUCAAACAAGACAUUGGUAUGCGUUACAAUCUGCGAUACAGACUUUUGUAAUGGACCUCAGAUUGAUGGAGGAUCAAUACUACAGAUAAAAACAUGGCUGAAUGUGUUAUGUGGUGUUGUAGUGAUUUUCAAACAAAUCUCGUAACGUUGUUUUUUCUUCUCAAAUUAAAUCUCAAUGUUUUUUUAAACGCAAAUAACGCAUUAUUUUUGGUCAAGGCUAAAGAUUUUUAUGCAUUGCUUUAUCUACCUAAUACCAUUUACCUUUGAAAGAUG